rnacentral:rRNA from 1 species
GACGAACGCUGGCGGCGUGCUUAACACAUGCAAGUCGAACGGAGUGGCGAACGGGUGAGUAACACGUGGGUGAUCUGCCUUGCACUUCGGGAUAAGCUUGGGAAACUGGGGCUAAUACCGGAUAGUGCAAGAUGAGCUCGCGGCCUAUCAGCUUGUUGGUGGGGUAAUGGACUACAAAGGCGUCGACGGGUUGCCGGCCUGAGAGGGUGUACGGCCACAUUGGGACUUGGAUACGGCCCAGACUCCGACGGGACGCAGCAGUGGGUAUUAUUGCACAAUGGGCGGAAGCCUAAUGCAUCGACGCCGGGUGGGGAAUGAAGGCCUUCGGGUUGUAAACUCCUUUCGACAGGGACGCGGUACCUGUAUAAGAAGCACCGGCUAACUACGUGCCAGCAGCCGCGGUAAUUC